GGGGUCCGCAGGGAAUGGCGGGCCGAUGACGUGAACCCCGGAAUAAGCCCCGGCUAACUACGUGCCAGCAGCCGCGGUAACACGUAGGGGGCGAGCGUUGUUCGGAAUCAUUGGGCGUAAAGGGCGCGCAGGCGGCGAGGCAAGUCCGGUGUGAAACUGCUCGGCUCAACCGAGUGAUGCGCUGGAAACUGCCCUGCUUGAGUACAGGAGGGGACGUCGGAAUUCCAGGUGUAGGGGUGAAAUCUGUAGAUAUCUGGAAGAACACCGGUGGCGAAGGCGGACGUCUGGCCAUGUACUGACGCUGAGGCGCGAAGGUGCGGGGAGCGAACAGGUUUAGAUACCCUGGUAGUCCGCACAGUAAACGAUGUGCACCAGGUGGCGGGGGGUAGCCCUCGGUACCGAAGCCAACGCAUUAAGUGCACCGCCUGGGGAGUAUGCUCGCAAGGGUGAAACUCA
rnacentral:rRNA from 1 species